rnacentral:rRNA from 1 species
CCUAUGUAACGGGGCUAAGCCAGUUACCGAAGCUGCGGAUGUGCAAUUUAUUGCAUGUGGUAGGAGAGCGUUCUGUAAGCCUGUGAAGGUGGCUUGUGAAGGCUGCUGGAGGUAUCAGAAGUGCGAAUGCUGACAUGAGUAGCGUUAAAGGGGGUGAAAAGCCCCCUCGCCGAAAGCGCAAGGUUUCCUACGCAACGUUCAUCGGCGUAGGGUGAGUCGGCCCCUAAGGCGAGGCAGAGAUGCGUAGCUGAUGGGAAACAGGUCAAUAUUCCUGUACCGAUUGCAAGUGCGAUGUGGGGACGGAGAAGGUUAGCUCAGCCAACUGUUGGAUAUGUUGGUUCAAGCGUGUAGUCGUGUCUCUUAGGCAAAUCCGGGAGAAUUAGAUGAGGCGUGAUAACGAGUCUGCUUGCAGACGAAGUGAGUGAUACCCUGCUUCCAAGAAAAGCCACUAAGCUUCAGCUUGUAAUUGACCGUACCGCAAACCGACACUGGUGCGCGAGAUGAGUAUUCUAAGGCGCUUGAGAGAACUCUGGAGAAGGAACUCGGCAAAUUGACACCGUAACUUCGGAAGAAGGUGUGCCUUUAGUAGGUGAACCAUUUACUUGGGGAGCCCAAUGAGGCCGCAGAGAAUCGGUGGCUGCAACUGUUUAUUAAAAACACAGCACUCUGCAAAGACGAAAGUCGACGUAUAGGGUGUGACUCCUGCCCGGUGCUGGAAGAUUAAAUGAUGGGGUGCAAGCUCUUGACUGAAGUCCCAGUAAACGGCGGCCGUAACUAUAACGGUCCUAAGGUAGCGAAAUUCCUUGUCGGGUAAGUUCCGACCUGCACGAAUGGAGUAAUGAUGGCCACACUGUCUCCUCCAGAGACUCAGCGAAGUUGAAAUGUUUGUGAUGAUGCAAUCUCCCCGCGGAAAGACGGAAAGACCCCAUGAACCUUUACUGUAGCUUUACAUUGGACUUUGAACAGAUCUGUGUAGGAUAGGUGGGAGGCUUUGAAGAGUGGACGCUAGUUUGCUUGGAGCCAACGUUGAAAUACCACCCUGGUGUGUUUGAGGUUCUAACCUUGGUCCCUUAUCGGGAUUGGGGACAGUGUAUGGUGGGCAGUUUGACUGGGGCGGUCUCCUCCCAAAGUGUAACGGAGGAGUUCGAAGGUACGCUAAAUACGGUCGGAAAUCGUGUUGAUAGUGCAUUGGCAUAAGCGUGCUUGACUGCGAGACUGACAAGUCGAGCAGGUACGAAAGC